AACGAACGCUGGCGGCAUGACCUAACACAUGCAAGUCGAACGAGCCCUUCGGGGGCUAGUGGCGCACGGGUGCGUAACGCGUGGGAAUCUGCCCUUAGGUUCGGAAUAACAGUUAGAAAUGACUGCUAAUACCGGAUAAUGACUUCGGUCCAAAGGAUUUAUCGCCUAGGGAUGAGCCCGCGUAGGAUUAGCUUGUUGGUGAGGUAAGAGCUCACCAAGGCGACGAUCCUUAGCUGGUCUGAGAGGAUGAUCAGCCACACUGGGACUGAGACACGGCCCAGACUCCUACGGGAGGCAGCAGUGGGGAAUAUUGGACAAUGGGCGAAAGCCUGAUCCAGCAAUGCCGCGUGAGUGAU
rnacentral:rRNA from 1 species